UUAAAAAGCUCGUAGUUGAACCUUGGGCCUGGCUGGCCGGUCCGCCUCACCGCGUGUACUGGUCCGGCCGGGCCUUUCCCUCUGUGGAACCCCAUGCCCUUCACUGGGUGUGGUGGGGAAACAGGACUUUUACUGUGAAAAAAUUAGAGUGCUCCAGGCAGGCCUAUGCUCGAAUACAUUAGCAUGGAAUAAUAGAAUAGGACGUGUGGUUCUAUUUUGUUGGUUUCUAGGACCGCCGUAAUGAUUAAUAGGGACAGUCGGGGG
rnacentral:rRNA from 1 species